CUUUGGCCUCUUUCAAACCUCGUGGCUCGAUAAGGAAACCCAAGGGAAAAUUAAACCUUCAAGUUAUGAGAGUGCCUUUCGUUUAGAGUUUAGACUUCAGGUUCAUAGUCAGAUAGUCUGGUCAAGUUGUGCAAGAGUAAAUAAGAGGUUUGAAUGCUGAUCCUAAGACGGUUCUUAACAAUCGGCCACAACAGAAUCUGGGUGAAGAUGUCAGAUUCCUUGUCGCCUCCAGAGAAUGUGAGAGGUAGAGAGGAGUCAAAAUGAAGAAAACUAAUGUUAACAACAAGAAGAACCCGUUCAAAGUUGAUAGGGUGCGGAGUAUGAAGCUUAAGCACAAAGCAAAAUCGUACCAGGGAAAUCUGAAGCAACUAAAAUUAAACUUGGAAACGCAAGUGAACAGGGCCAACUCGGAGUUGGACACGCUUGCGACCGUAAUCAGAUCUGCGCCGUCAGUGAAAGUUGCUGAGCAGAUCUCAAAGCCGCUCUCUGAACAAGAGAAAAAGGAAAAAGUAGAAAAGUUGGUCG
rnacentral:misc_RNA from 1 species